UCUGACCUGUCCAGAGGCUUUUUUCAGCUGGAGCCAACAUUUUCUCCCUCCAACCUCAUCACCUCCUCAAACACCUGACUGGGUGGUCCAACCCAUCAGCCACAUGUCCCCAUUUCUCCUUGGCAGCAGAAGAGCAGAAGUUUAGACUCAAGAAUAAUUUAACAAGCAGGACCACACACAGCUACAGGCACAGCAAGAACAGAGAAGAUAGCUGAGGUUUUCCUUUCACAACUGUUCUUUCUAAAUGCUUUUGAAUUUAAAAGUCAGUUUCACUGUUAUGAACUUAGAAAAUAUACAUUUAGUCCUUUAUGAGCAGACAGUUCUAUAUACUUUAUUAAGGGUUCCAUUUGCUUUAUUAAAUCCUUCAAAUUUCAUGCCUACUCUCCUCUCUACAGUGAGAAUACUACUAUUUUAUUUAAAGGCCAAGAUUAAGAUGUUCAUUUUUCACUUGCCCAGUAUUCUGAAAUGUCUGCACAAAUGUCAUCUGGAAGGUCUUACACACUUACAUAAACCAGAGGAGAAUCCUCAGACCUUACUGCAAUGCAGACAGCUGCAGUUUUACAUUUAACCUUAGCUGCAACAUUUCUGUAUUGGCAUGUUAAUUAAGAUAUAUAAAUAUGUACUUGAUCUAAAGCCCAGAAUACAUCCUGUCAAAUUCUUUUUUAACACAGUUUAUUCCAACAACAGACUACAGAGAAAAGAAAGCACUUACCCGAAUUAGAAUCUGGAAAAGACAAAUAGCAAAUAUUGGUUUUCUAAAGGGUAGGGAAAAGAAAAGAGAGCUGUUAUAUUUCCUGAGAUAUAAUGUAUUUACAUUUCCUAAGCUAAAACCAAAUUAUAUAUAGCAACUAUGACUUACCUCUUUAUCUGUGAGUUUGGAAUGUGGAGGGUAUAUCACCUACAGGAAAAAAGCAGUAUUAUUUUAUUUGAAAAUAAGCUGGGCAUAAGCAAUAAAUUUCCAUUAAAUAUUUUACCAGUACAACCCUCAAACAGCUAUAGGACAACCCCUUCCCAGCUGUAGGACAUUUUCAAUUGUAAGCUAUUAAUAUUAUAUCUCAGUUCUUAUCUUCAUAUGCUUUUAAGCUUUCUUGAUCACCCAUCUUUACAAGGUAUUUUGGAUGCCAGAUAGAGACCACACAUGCUCAUUUA